UGACUGCUCUGACCCUGCCAUCCCAGCCCAGAAGCCACCGAGGGACAGAGAUGGUGUGCAGAAUCCUUGUGAAGAGAAAACACAACGACACAGGGAUGUGAUGAAAAAGUAUUGUCCUGCCUGUAUACAUUUUAUAUACAUAGAAGGUUUUGAAAAUAGAAAGUGCCUGGACAACAGCAGUUGGUGAAAUGUGGAAAAUAUGUUGCUGAGAAACAAGCUUCUUAGCUCAGCUGCCCUGUGAAAUGCUUACCCCACUGUUGGCACUGGAAGUGGCAUCCUGUUAACUGAAAGAUGACCAGGUAGAGAACCUUUUAUCUGCAGAAUGAGACAGCAGCAGCUCCCCUCCACCUGCCUUAUUCAAGUGCUGUUUUGCUGUGUACUCUGUUUUACACAGGAAUAAGAAUAACACAGUAGAGAGUUGGGU